AGAGCGAACGCUGGCGGCAGGCUUAACACAUGCAAGUUGAGCGGGCGUAGCAAUACGUCAGCGGCAGACGGGUGAGUAACGCGUGGGAACGUACCUUUUGGUUCGGAACAACCCAGGGAAACUUGGGCUAAUACCGGAUAAGCCCUUACGGGGAAAGAUUUAUCGCCGAAAGAUCGGCCCGCGUCUGAUUAGCUAGUUGGUGAGGUAAUGGCUCACCAAGGCGACGAUCAGUAGCUGGUCUGAGAGGAUGAUCAGCCACAUUGGGACUGAGACACGGCCCAAACUCCUACGGGAGGCAGCAGUGGGGAAUAUUGGACAAUGGGCGCAAGCCUGAUCCAGCCAUGCCGCGUGAGUGAUGAAGGCCCUAGGGUUGUAAAGCUCUUUUGUGCGGGAAGAUAAUGACGGUACCGCAAGAAUAAGCCCCGGCUAACUUCGUGCCAGCAGCCGC
rnacentral:rRNA from 1 species